CUGGCGGCAGGCCUAACACAUGCAAGUCGAGCGCUACCUUCGGGUGGAGCGGCGGACGGGUUAGUAACGCGUGGGAACGUACCCAGAUCUAAGGAAUAGCCACUGGAAACGGUGAGUAAUACCUUAUACGCCCUUCGGGGGAAAGAUUUAUCGGAUUUGGAUCGGCCCGCGUUAGAUUAGAUAGUUGGUGGGGUAAUGGCCUACCAAGUCUACGAUCUAUAGCUGGUUUUAGAGGAUGAUCAGCAACACUGGGACUGAGACACGGCCCAGACUCCUACGGGAGGCAGCAGUGGGGAAUCUUGGAGAAUGGGCGCAAGCCUGAUCCAGCCAUGCCGCGUGAGUGAUGAAGGCCUUAGGGUCGUAAAGCUCUUUCGCCAGAGAUGAUAAUGACAGUAUCUGGUAAAGAAACCCCGGCUAACUCCGUGCCAGCAGCCGCGGUA
rnacentral:rRNA from 1 species